rnacentral:rRNA from 1 species
CGGUCCCAAGGGUAUGGCUGUUCGCCAUUUAAAGUGGUACGUGAGCUGGGUUUAAAACGUCGUGAGACAGUUUGGUCCCUAUCUGCAGUGGGCGUUGGAAGUUUGACGGGGGCUGCUCCUAGUACGAGAGGACCGGAGUGGACGAACCUCUGGUGUACCGGUUGUGACGCCAGUCGCAUCGCCGGGUAGCUAAGUUUGGAAGAGAUAAACGCUGAAAGCAUCUAAGCGUGAAACUCGCCUGAAGAUGAGACUUCCCUAGGGAUAUAAUCCCUCUAAAGAGACGUUCGAGACCAGGACGUUGAUAGGUCGGGUGUGGAAGAGUGGUAACACUUGCAGCUAACCGAUACUAAUUGCUCGUGAGGCUUGACUCUAU